rnacentral:rRNA from 1 species
UACCUACGGGGGGCAGCAGUGGGGAAUAUUGCACAAUGGGGGAAACCCUGAUGCAGCAACGCCGCGUGAGUGAAGAAGUAUUUCGGUAUGUAAAGCUCUAUCAGCAGGGAAGAGAAUGACGGUACCUGACUAAGAAGCCCCGGCUAACUACGUGCCAGCAGCCGCGGUAAUACGUAGGGGGCAAGCGUUAUCCGGAUUUACUGGGUGUAAAGGGAGCGUAGACGGCUGGCCAAGUCUGAAGUGAAAGCCCGGGGCUUAACCCCUGAACUGCUUUGGAAACUGCCAUGCUAGAGUGCUGGAGGGGG